rnacentral:lncRNA from 1 species
CCGAGAGGAUCCAAGGCUCAAAAGGCCACGGCUGCACAUUUCUUUCUUUCUUUUCUUUGCCCUUUUAAUUUUAUUUUUUAUUUAUUUUAUUUAUUUUUUAUUUUAGUUUUAAUCAGUUGUACAUGACAGCAGAAUGCUCCUGUAUUCAUUGUACAUAAAUGGAGCAGAAUUUUUCACUUCUCUGGUUGUACAUGAUGUAGAGUCACACUAUUCGCACAAUCAUACACGUACCUGGGGUAAUGAUGUCGGUCUCCUUCUGCCAUCUUUCCUGAUCCCAUGCCCCCUGCCCCGCCUGUGCCCCAUCUGAAGUUCCUCCACUCAUCCCAGGACCCCCCCCCCAUUAUGAAUUAGCAUCCACUAUCAGAGAAAACAUUCAGCCCCUGGUUGUUUGGGAUUGGCUUAUUUUGCUUCAUGAUAUUCUCCAAAUCCAUCCAUUUACCUGCAAAUUAUUCUCUGUUGGAGCUGAGCAAUAUUCCUUGGUGUGUACGUACCUCUGUUUCUUCAUCCACUCCUCUAUUGGAGAACGGCUAGACAUUUCCAAGCCCCUGCAUCUUCCUAUUUCAGAGUCAUGUACUGCUAGGGACAUACAGUCUUUCCCAUUUCCCUUCUUAGUAUUUACUAGCACGAAACAAAACAGAACAAAUGAAUGCAUGAACUCCUGGUUUGCUGCUUGGAAAUGCAGAACCAACCAAUCGGCAACCUCCACAGCCCGCUGGGCGCCUGCCUGCAGCCUCCUCGUGCCUGGGCGCCUCUCUCCUGUGGUGCUGCCAGGCUACUACCCUCCGCACUCGCUCUACCUGCUGACACCUUUCUUGGGAAAGGGGUUUGAGUAAUAAUGUACCUGCUGGAUGUUUUGGUGGCUGGAAAAUGCCCUUUUCCCUUUGAGAAGAUACCCCCAUCAGCUGCUGAGAGCCAGACAGCCCUGG